rnacentral:rRNA from 2 species
AUUUGACCUCAAAUCAGGUAGGAUUACCCGCUGAACUUAAGC